UUUAUUCUUCGUUUGAAUUUUGGAAAGAUUUUCCGUUGGACUUGCCUCGAGGAAGAAAGUAGUACUGUUUUUAACAUUUCGUUCAUCCCGAGCUUCGUUCUGUGAUCCAUAAAUAGUGAGAAAGAGGGGCCGUCGUUCCUUUAUUUUAGCUUAGUCGAUUUUUAUAGCCGGAGACACUUACGAGUGGAGAAAAUGGAGUUCGAGUACAGUGCGCCGCAGUUUGUUGAACGGCUGGACUUAGUGGCCGAGAAAAUGAUGAACGAUGGUUCGGAUGACUUUUUCGAGAAUAAGGAUGAAAAUACUUCAAUUAAUAUUGAUGCCAACAUGAAACAAGAUGAGCAAUAUUUCACUCCUAAAAUAUUACCUACUCACAAAGUUAAUCUGACUGCUGAGAGUGGAAAAAUUUUAUCCGAUAUAACUAACAACGGAAAUGAUAAAACUCCGGCAGUUGAAAAUCCAACAAUUCAGGGUAGAGUGAUAAUCAAAGCUAAAAGGCGCUCUUGGGGGCUUGGCAAAAAUACUCACACUUCACCUGAAACAUUAAGAAGUGCUAUUGCAAAAUUACACACCUUUGAAGGAGUGACGUUGAACAAAUUGACUCCGGCAAAAGAGCACUCCAUGUCUACAAGACGUGAUUCAUCUUUAAAGCCUACAAUUGAUUUGAGAAAUCGUGUGGUACGCCGAGAAACUCUCAAAAGGAAAGGAUCAUCGUUGUCGGAGAAUAAAUAUCAAACAUUGGCGGAAAAAAUUUAUCAUUUUGAAAACGAUAUUCCUCCUCGAUUUAAGUAUAAGCCUUCUAGCUCAAGAGUAUCUAGCCAAGACAGGUUAACGCCGACUGUGGCCGUUUCUCCCAAUUUAAAUACUAAGCAUAGAACACUGUCUCCGAGCACUGAAGAAAUGGAAACAAAAGAAUCAAAUGAUAUAAAACGAGAUCCGAUAAAGGCAAGGCCGUUAAACAGGAAAAUAUUUCAACCACCUGAAUUGAGUAAACCAGUUGCUAGACCGUGUACGGUGCCAGUGGAGUUUCAAUUAACUCAAGUUAAACCCAAGAAACCACAAAAGGUUGAGUGUUUCCAGUUUAAGGCACAGCCAGCUCCUAAAACGACCCAUUUGCUUACCAGCUCAGUGCAGAAGAAAGAAGUGACAAAACAAAAGGAUGCAAGCAGAACGCAUAGUAAACAGAACAGUUUUUCUCAAUUUACUAGUGUCACUUCUCAAAAGUCUAAAGUGAAACCUUUUAGCUUCGAGGAACGAGACAAACUGAAACAGUUAGAAAAGGAGGAAAAAAUAAGAAAGAUAAUCCAAGAGGAGAGCACUAUACCAACUUUUCACGCCAACCCUGUCCCCCCUUUUAUCACACGGUCUUCAACAUUAUCAAUCAAUUCAACAAAGAAUAACAUGAAUUCAAGGGCGAACAAGAAGAAUUUUGCCAAUUCAAAGCCAAAGAACCAGUUGUAUUGAAGAAAGAGCCAUUUCUUCCAAAAAAGCUGGACAAGCCUUUAACCGAACCAUGCGAUAUUGUCUUGAACACCGAAAAGAGGGCUGUUGAAAGACAAGAAUUUGAGAAAACCCUCAAAGAGAAAGAAGAGAGGUUCAUGAAAAUGCAAAUUGAGUUUGAAAAGGAAAGGGAGGCCUGUGAGAAAGAAGAGUUAGCAAGACUAAGAAAAGAAUUGGUACAUAAGGCAAAACCUAUGCCCAAUUAUCCUCCAGUAAAUAAAUAAAUUUUCAUAA
rnacentral:misc_RNA from 1 species